rnacentral:rRNA from 1 species
GAUGAACGCUGGCGGCGUGCCUAAUACAUGCAAGUCGAGCGAACGGACGAGAAGCUUGCUUCUCUGAUGUUAGCGGCGGACGGGUGAGUAACACGUGGAUAACCUACCUAUAAGACUGGGAUAACUUCGGGAAACCGGAGCUAAUACCGGAUAAUAUUUUGAACCGCAUGGUUCAAAAGUGAAAGACGGUCUUGCUGUCACUUAUAGAUGUAUCCGCGCUGCAUUAGCUAGUUGGUAAGGUAACGGCUUACCAAGGCAACGAUGCAUAGCCGACCUGAGAGGGUGAUCGGCCACACUGGAACUGAGACACGGUCCAGACUACUACGGGAGGCAGCAGUAGGGAAUCUGCCGCAAUGGGCGAAAGCCUGACGGAGCAACGCCGCGUGAGUGAUGAAGGUCUUCGGAUCGUAAAACUCUGUUAUUAGGGAAGAACAUAUGUGUAAGUAACUGUGCACAGCUUGACGGUACCUAAUCAGAAAGCCACGGCUAACUACGUG